AUCGAAUAUAACUUAGUUAAAGCGUGCGUUUCGUGCUGAAUUGCAUCGCUCUCCGGCCGAAAGUGAAGAAAGUAAUUCAAGUGCGGCCCCUAGAUAUUCCUCUUAUCUAAGCCUUUGUUGUUCAAGUACGAACGGAGUUGCGAGACUCGACGCAGCUUUCGGUUUUGAGGUUGUCUUCUCUCUCUUUCCUGUCGGUUUCUCAAAGUCAUUUUGUUUUAUUGAGAGUGCACAGUUGUGGAUACAAGGUGUGACGUCGUAAUUGGUCGGAGUAAGGAGGUUGCGCACAGGCGGGUGACUUGCUCUGAGGAAAUCCAGAAUAGAUUCAUAAUGGGCGGAUGAUAACUUCAGAAAUAAGAGGUAUUGGUCUCGCCACGCGCGCUCUCUACUCUAUUUUGCUGUCAUGUUUGAUUGUCAGUAUGCAACGCCAUCUCAUAUUAUGGGCAAGGAUGGGAUUGCAGAAUGAUUAACAUGAAAGGGUCUGAGCAGUAGCUUGGGUGUGACUUGGUUCCUUCCAG
rnacentral:lncRNA from 1 species